rnacentral:snoRNA from 1 species
AUCCUUGUGAUGAAUGGGGAUUCACACCACUGCUUGUGGUUUGCUGCCCAUUAAGCCUGGUCAUGACGUGGGCACAUUACCCAUCUGGGU